GGGGAAUCAAAUCCCUAGCGCUCUCAAUCCCCAAAAUCGGGCUUGGCACACAUCUCUCUCCCUCACCCCUCCUUCUCCACCACCGGCCGCCGCCGCGGCCAGGCCGGCAUGGCGGCGCGCCACCGUGCCACCAGCACACCCACCAUCGCCACCAUCGCCAGCCACCUCCACACCUCGCGCGCCCGACCAGACAAGAGGGUCACGGGCGUUUGGUCCUCCGCAUGAGCGCCCCCGUGCUGCUGAUCUUCUUCUUCUCCUAUGCCUUGCUGCUGCUCCUUCUUCCCUCGCCUUGCUGCUGCUCCUCUACUUCUCAACCCUCACCACGCUGCUGCUCCUUCUUCCCUCGCCUUGCUGCUACUCCUCCACUUCUCAACCCUCACCACGCUGUUGCUCCUCCUCUCCAAGUUGCUGCUGCCGCUCCUUCCUUUGCCCUGCUGCUGCUUCUCUCUUCCACCUGCUGCUGCUCCUCCGUCACGCCCCCUCUCUAGCUGGCUGCUGCUGCUCUUCCCCUUCCCUUGCCCCAACCUACUGCUUCUUCUUUUCCUCAAAUCCUGCUGCUGCUCCUUUCUCCCUAAUUCCCUUCUUCUCCCUUCCUUGCUGCUGUUCCUUUCUGAAGAAAACGACCCUGCUGUUCUUCUCUGAAUCCCCAACUCGCUGCUGCAGUUUCUAUCUCUUUCUGUCUCUGUAAUUCAUAGGAGUUAGUACUGUAUAAUAUAGUGAUUAGUUCAAUUUCAGACUUGUGUUUGUAGUGUUAUAUUGGUGAUCUGUGAGCUGAACUGUGGCAUGUGUCACUUAGUAUGUAUGCUUGAUAAUUAGCUAUAUAUAUCUCCUGUCCAUUUCUUGCUUAAGAGCCUUGUUUCAUUGUGUAGUCUCUGUGAUAGCUCCAGUACAUGUGAUUUUUAUGUUGUCUCAAGUACCUGUUAUAUAUAUACAUAUGUGUGUGUCUGUGAUGUGAUACAUUUAUGUUCUGUCCUACAACCUUGUUUCUUCC
rnacentral:rRNA from 1 species